GGAAAAGAGAAUUGGCUGAGUGGUCUAUAGCGAUAAGCUUGAAACUUAUUUUGGUAAAAAAACCAACAUCCGUUCGAAUCGGAUAUUCUCUGUACAAAUAUUUACGGGUUAGAGCCGGGUUGGUUAGGCGCCUCAUUUGGGUUGAGGAAAAGUUAUGUUCGAAUCAUAAUAACCCGAACGACGUAUUUGUUAUACAUAUUAGUAAUGUAUUUGAUAUGUAAUGUAAAAUUUCAUCAUUUGUAUGAUGGUAAGUAUAUAAAGAAACUAUUAUGGAUGAAUGGCUGUAUAUCAGAGAGUUUGUCAUAUUUGGGAUGUGAAAUACCUGUAACACCAUAGAUCUCUUGGAAAAAUCCCAUGUAUAAACGAAGUAAAUUGAAAUAUCUUAUUAACUUCAGGAAUAAAAAUCAAAUGAGAUUCCAGUUAGCUAAAAACUAAUAUGGAGAAGCCUUUAAAGUAAAAUGGAUAAAAGUCUGUUUGAAUAUAGGGAAACCUUUCUCUAAGGCUAAAUAUGAUAUAUAAGCGACAGCGAAAUAAGUAGCGUGAGGGAAAUUCUUGAAAUAGUAGUUUUAUAAGCAGCUCAAGUUAAAUUUAAAUAGAUGAUAAGAGCGUACCUUUUGCAUAAUGGGUCAGCAAGUUAAUGUUAGAUGCGAAGAUGCCUAAUACCCUAAGUAUGAAACAAAUUGUAGAAGAAAAGGAGGCAGCGUAGAUAAACCGAUUAUUAAAUAAUGAAUUAGUAUCUAAUGUUAGACCCGAAGCCUAGUGAUCUUACCAUGAUCAGGAUUAUAAAAGUCCGAACGGGUGAUUGUUGCAAAAAUCUCCGAAGAAUUGUGGUAAGUUAGUGAAAGACAAAACUGACUAGGAUAGCUGGUUUUCCGCGAAACCUAUAUAAGUAGGUAAUUCAAAUAACAUCAUAGCAGGUACAGAACUGUGAUCUCAGACAAGUUGUGAUAAACAUCACUUUGUAUAUAUCGGGGGAUCGUGAAGAUUUUAUCGGUGAGAAUUCGCUCUCGGAAGGGCAAUGAUGAAUUUUGAAUAAUCAGACAUAGUACGAUAAGGUUGUAUGUCUAAAGGGAAACAGCCCAGAACAAAAGUUAAAGGUUCCAAAAUUAUUGUUAAGUGAAAAUAAGGAAGUUUUUUUCGUAUACAACCAGGAAAUAGGCUUAGAAGCGGCCAUUUUUUGAAGACCUCGUAACAGAGCACUGGUUUAUUUUUUUUAUUUAUAGUUAUUAUAGAUAAAUAGUUAAAAGCACCGAAAAUUCAACGGAUCUAAACAAUAUACCGACACUUUGUCCAUAGAUAAAUUAUAUAUAAUUUGUUUGUGGGGUAGCGGAACGUUGGGCAAUCUUUGACUUAAUCUUUUUAAGAUUAAAUAAAAACCAUGUAUUGCUCGUAUAAACCCUUCUCCUCCCCCCUGUAGGGAGGAGGAGGGUCUCAGCCUUUUAUUGGAUUUCUAUCUGGUAAGGGGUUGGGCGUGUUGUAUAUCAGAGGUAGAUUCAAUCUACACGGUGAGAUAACCCCAAGUGAGAAUGCUGACAUGAGUAACGAAAAAGGGAUAUCCCCUCGCCUUAAGCUUAUGGUAUUUAGAUUUAAAGUAACGGCCUCUAAGUUUAUUAACCUCUCCUAAAGGAUUAAGCGAUGAGAAAAUCUUUUUACAUAUUGGACAACUUUCUAAAGAAAAAAUUAAAAAAAAAAGUGUAGAAUGUUCUGGAAAAAGAUAUGUAUAUUUAACCGUACCUCGAUACUACCACAAGUAAGCAAGUAGAGAAUACAAAGGCGUUUGAGUUAACAAUCAUUAAGGAACUCGGCAAAUUGACACCGUAACUUAGGGAUAAGGUGUGCCAUUCUUCCUGACUAAUAUCAGGUUAAGAAUAGGAGGCAUAGAAUGGUGUUGUACGACUGUUUAAUUAAAACAAAGCACUUUGCAUAAGAUGAUAAAUCAAAGUAUUGAGUGUGAUUUCUGCCCGAUGUUGGCUGGUUAACGGAUGUUCUUAGUUGACUAAAAUAAACUAGGUUUUGAAGGAAACCCCAAUCAAUGGCGGCCUUACCGAUGAGGGUCCUAAGGUAGCGGAAUACCCUGGCCGUUAAAUGCGGUCUUGCAUGAAUGAUUUAACGAUACAACAGCUGUCUCAAUGAUUGACUCAGUGAAAUUGGAAUAACUGUGCAGAUACAGUUUACCUCUAGUUAGACGAGAAGACCCUAUGCAGCUUUACUGUUGCUAGUUAUUGGAUAUGAUCGAACAAGUUGUAGUGUAUAAGGUAAUUGAAAUGAUACAAUUGAAACACCUUUACUUAGUUUAUCAUAUCAGUAAAAGACUGCCGAGGUUUAGUCCAAGGCUGAAAUUUACAAAACUUAUCCAAAAAGGUAAAGGGAAUAAUCUAUAAAGAUUGUUCCAGGAAACAGUUGCUAGUAGACAGUUUAUGCGGGGCACAGAUCCCACAAAAAGUACCUGGGUGUAUCCAAAGUUAAUUUUGUAAACCUGCCAGUUAAGGCUGGCAACUAUAUAUGUUAUGAUUAGUACUACUAAUCAUCGCAUGUAAUUAUUUUAGUUUGUAAUAGAUUAUGGCCCUUUUCCUCCAGGGGAGAGGGGUUAACACAAUCUACUCAGUUAUUUAUCUAUUAGGUUAGAUUUAUUAUAUUUAUUUUAAGUAAGAUUUUAACUAUAUGGGAAAUAGACGUAAAUAAAGCAUUAACUAGAUCAGUAAUGUUUUAAUUUGUUUGUUUUAUUCUAUAAAGCAAAUGAUAUUUAUUUUUACCUUAAAAGUUUAAUGGCUUAAUCUUGCUUUACUGUUUGACUUACACGUCUAUCAGUCGCGUAAGCGGGGCAUAUGAUCACAAGAUGCAGAAAGGAAAGGUCUUGGAUUUUUGAAAAAGCUACGCUAGGGAUAACAGGCUAAUUGCGCCAGAGAGUACAAAUUGAGUGCGCAGUUUGGCACCUCGAUGUCGGCUUAGCUCAUCCACAUGAACGCAGGAAUCAUGAAGGGUACGACUGUUCGUCGAUUAAAGAGCUACACGAGCUGGGUUAAAUACGU
rnacentral:rRNA from 1 species